CCUAAAAUGACAGAUGAAUGUAUAGGACUUAAGAUCCUAUCAAGAAGCUAAUAGCUUCUUUUAGAA
rnacentral:tRNA from 1 species